rnacentral:rRNA from 1 species
CUAUAAAUUUAAGAUAAAAAUUUAAUUUUUAAUUUUUAAUGUUAUAGAGAUAAUAUUUUUCUUUAAUUUUAAUAAUUUAAUAAUUUAAUAUUUAUAAAUUAAUAAUGAUUUAAAUUUAUAUUUUAUUUUUCUAUAAAAAUUUAUAUUUUAAUUAAUAAAAUAUAGAAAUAAUGAUUAGAUUAGUAAUAAAGUUAUAUUUUAUAAUGAUAUUUUGUAUUAUMUAAUUUAAAGGAAUUCGGCAAAUAUAUUAUUCACCUGUUUAUCAAAAACAUGUCCUGUUGAUUAUAAUUUUAGGUCGAUCUGCUCAAUGAAUUAUUUUAAAUAGCUGCAGUAUGUUGACU